CCUACGGGAGGCAGCAGUGGGGAAUAUUGCACAAUGGGGGAAACCCUGAUGCAGCAACGCCGCGUGAGUGAAGAAGUAUUUCGGUAUGUAAAGCUCUAUCAGCAGGGAAGAAGAAAGACGGUACCUGACUAAGAAGCCCCGGCUAACUACGUGCCAGCAGCCGCGGUAAUACGUAGGGGGCAAGCGUUAUCCGGAUUUACUGGGUUUAAAGGGAGCGUAGACGGCUGUGCAAGUCUGAAGUGAAAGCCCGUGGCUCAACCGCGGAACUGCUUUGGAAACUGUAUAGCGUGAGUACUGGAGAGGCAGGCGGAAGUCCUAGUGUAGCGGUGAAAUGCGUAGAUAUUAGGAGGAACACCAGUGGCGAAGGCGGCCUGCUGGACAGAAACUGACGUUGAGGCUCGAAAGCGUGGGGAGCAAACAGGAUUAGAUACCCUUGUAGUC
rnacentral:rRNA from 1 species